GAAACGCGAUAUGUAAUGUGAAUUGCAGAAUUUUGUGAAUCAUCGAAUCUUUGAACGCACAUUGCGCCCUCUGGUAUUCCGGAGGGCAUACCUGUUUGAGCGUCAUUUCCCUCUCAAACAUUUUGUUUGGUGUUAAGUCCUAUUCACACUUACGUGUGAUGACUUGAAAUGCAUUGGCAGGACAGUAUUUUUCCAUGUAUUGACAACGUAUUAGGUUCUACCAACUCGUUGGAAAUUGGGAGAUACAAUGGUCAGGCCUUUACAACCGUGACAACAAAGUUUUGACCUCAAAUCAGGCAGGAUUACCGCUGAACUUAA
rnacentral:rRNA from 1 species